GCGGCAGCGUGGGCUAAGCUGAGUACUGAGCGUCUCUGGGAGCCGCUUGGGGGUCGAGACUCCUCGGGCCUCUGGCUCUCCUCUGUCCCCUGCAGCUCGGGGACCCGCCAGCGGCAGAGCCUCGGAGCCGGUCUCCGGAAUUUUCCUGGAGCUGCGGAGGAGGGGGAUCACUGAGGCUCCCGUACUCUGCUGUAGUACACCCCCAACCUCCACCCCAGCAGACCACGCUGGCGGUCCGCAGGCUGUCCCUUCCGUAUUCCGCUCUCAUGCGACUUUCCUUCUCUCUGCUUUUACCCAGGUGCUUUUAUCACAAGUCCUAGGUAAAGGCCCCAUCCUCUCAGCGCCCCUACAGCCCAGAAUCCCGACCCAAGUCUACUGUAAUCCGCUGGUUUCUCAGCUCACCAGAGCUGCUCCAAGAAGCCAGGAGGAGGGCAGACCACAAAUUAGUUUUAUUCGGAGCUGUCAUUCCAGUGACAACUUGAAAGAGUGACUUUUCAAACAAAAAUAAGAUAGAUGGCUCCAAACGUCUCCCUUAGAAACAGCCAAACUUUUACCCUGAGCCUCGGAACCAACAAGGAGUGCAGCCCCAGAAGAGCGGCACGCGUGUCCCCUCUCUGCACCUUGUAGGAAGUGCUACCCUCCGCGGCCACCACAUCCCCUGGUCACGUGAGGUCC
rnacentral:lncRNA from 1 species